UUGUGUGUUGGAAUAGAGAGAGUUUGCCUCAAGAAAGCAUUGGGCACUUGGUUGCCACUAAUUGCUCAAUCAAAUCUUCAGAUAAGAAAGAUGAGGUUUAUAUAUAUAUAUAUAUAUAUAUAUAUAUAUAUAUAUAAUACUUUUAGGUACAAUUAUAUCAAAUAUAUAAAUCUUAAGUUUCCAAAAAUAUCCAAAAUAUGAGAAAAAAACUCUAAAUCCUUAUAUAUCCUUAUGGGGUAUUAUUCUCAAACUU
rnacentral:lncRNA from 1 species